AGAAAAACAGCCCUUAUGACUAAACUACCUAUAUGGAAGUUUAGAACUAUGUUGUUGUAAAAAAUAAUGAAAAUAAAAUUUUUGGUAUCUUUUUGAUUUUUUUUCAAAAAGUAAGGUAAAAAAAUGCUAAAAUAAGGAAAAUUGGGAAUUGCCAGUUUCUAACCGUUUUCAAUGAUCCAUCAUUGGAGAAAAACAGCCUUUAUGACUUAACUAUCUAUAUGGAAGUCUAGUACUAUGUUGGUGUAAAAAAUAAUGAGAAUAAAAUUUUUGGUAUCUUUUUGAUUUUUUUCAAGAAAUAAGGUAAAAAAAAAUGCUAAAAUAGGGAAAAUUGAGAAAAUUUGAGAAAAGCCGUUUUUUGACCGUUUUUAAUUAUCCAUCACCAAAGGAAAACAACACUUAUGACUUAA
rnacentral:lncRNA from 1 species